CCCCGUACACAAAAAUGCACAUACUGUGAGCUCGAUGAGUAGGGCGGGACACGUGGUAUCCUGUCUGAAUAUGGGGGGACCAUCCUCCAAGGCUAAAUACUCCUGACUGACCGAUAGUGAACCAGUACCGUGAGGGAAAGGCGAAAAGAACCCCGGCGAGGGGAGUGAAAAAGAACCUGAAACCGUGUACGUACAAGCAGUGGGAGCCUCUUUUAUGGGGUGACUGCGUACCUUUUGUAUAAUGGGUCAGCGACUUAUAUUCUGUAGCAAGGUUAACCGAAUAGGGGAGCCGAAGGGAAACCGAGUCUUAACUGGGCGUUAAGUUGCAGGGUAUAGACCCGAAACCCGGUGAUCUAGCCAUGGGCAGGUUGAAGGUUGGGUAACACUAACUGGAGGACCGAACCGACUAAUGUUGAAAAAUUAGCGGAUGACUUGUGGCUGGGGGUGAAAGGCCAAUCAAACCGGGAGAUAGCUGGUUCUCCCCGAAAGCUAUUUAGGUAGCGCCUCGUGAAUUCAUCUCCGGGGGUAGAGCACUGUUUCGGCAAGGGGGUCAUCCCGACUUACCAACCCGAUGCAAACUGCGAAUACCGGAGAAUGUUAUCACGGGAGACACACGGCGGGUGCUAACGUCCGUCGUGAAGAGGGAAACAACCCAGACCGCCAGCUAAGGUCCCAAAGUCAUGGUUAAGUGGGAAACGAUGUGGGAAGGCCCAGACAGCCAGGAUGUUGGCUUAGAAGCAGCCAUCAUUUAAAGAAAGCGUAAUAGCUCACUGGUCGAGUCGGCCUGCGCGGAAGAUGUAACGGGGCUAAACCAUGCACCGAAGCUGCGGCAGCGACGCUUAUGCGUUGUUGGGUA
rnacentral:rRNA from 1 species